rnacentral:rRNA from 1 species
GAUGAACGCUGGCGGCGUGCCUAAUACAUGCAAGUCGAGCGAACCACUUCGGUGGUGAGCGGCGAACGGGUGAGUAACACGUAGGUUAUCUGCCCAUCAGACGGGGACAACGAUUGGAAACGAUCGCUAAUACCGGAUAGGACGAAAGUUUAAAGGUGCUUCGGCGCCACUGAUGGAUGAGCCUGCGGCGCAUUAGCAAGUUGGUAGGGUAAAGGCCUACCAAGGCGACGAUGCGUAGCCGACCUGAGAGGGUGAACGGCCACACUGGGACUGAGACACGGCCCAGACUCCUACGGGAGGCAGCAGUAGGGAAUCUUCGGCAAUGGGCGAAAGCCUGACCGAGCAACGCCGCGUGAAUGAUGAAGGCCUUCGGGUUGUAAAAUUCUGUUAUAAGGGAAGAAUGGCUCUAGUAGGAAAUGGCUAGAGUGUGACGGUACCUUAUGAGAAAGCCACGGCUAACUACGUGCCAGCCGCCGCGGUAAAAC